CGUGUCCCGACUUUCGAAAUCGGCGUGUCGGGGUGGGGGGAACUCCCUGUGCCGUCGCGCGCGGCUGGCCUGCGCGGAGGCCCGGAUUUACCAAGAUGAUCGUGAAAUAGGGCCAGUAGGGAGGCUGAGCAGGAGUAGCCUGGAUCCCUGCCCGUAAAGAACUAGGAUCUGCUCUCUGGGGACCGGUGGGGUGAAAAGCGCCUACUCCGGGUGGACGGCGCAGGUCCGGGCCCGAUAAGACUUAGGUUUGACACAUGCGGACUUCCACCACUGGAAGACUGGAGGAAAGGGCUCUGCGACCCUGACUGACCCAGAGCCAGCCGCCUUAUGGGGACAGCGUCAAGAUAUCUUGACAGGAUGGAAAAUACGUGCAGAACCUGUUGUUAUAAUAGACAGAAAAUUGAGCUGUAGUCUAUGUUAUAGGUUCUGACCAAAGGAACUUCCUAAGUUAAUAUUAACUUAAGGGACUCCCUUGGGCAAAGUACUGACAGUGGCCAAAGGCCCUUCGGUCUGACCAUCUUCCGAGAACCAGAGCUGCUGUAAAGACAAUUCCUCUGCACUCUGACCACUGCCACGUUCUCAGGUCCUAGUCUAAGGGGGCCCAUUGUGAAGCCAAAAAGAUGGCAAUUGUUUCGUCUCGAUGGCUUUAAUGAUAAAUCCAUUCGCUGCUUGUACAAACUGCCUGACCUUAAGGACAGAUCGAAUAUUUUCUGGUAAAAUAGGCUAAAACGGUUGUUACUGACCUUUAAAAGUAUUUUGAUCACAUGAAGUCUUUCAAGUCA